GGGGGGAGUGCCGGAUCCUGGGCUGUGUCCCCCAGCGCCCUGGCUCCAGAGCCUGCGCCACUGGAAUGACACUCCCGGGGCUGCACAGCCCCCU
rnacentral:pre_miRNA from 1 species